rnacentral:lncRNA from 1 species
CUCGGCUCGGAUCUACCUUCCAGUAGCAGCGGAGUGGCCAAUGGGACCGGGACCAGAGCCGGGGGCCGGAGGCCGCCGCCGCGGGGAGGUUCCCGGCCCAGGUGCCCAGCGCUCACCAGCCCGGCGGCGCCGCGGCGGCCCCGCAGCUGUUUCCUCGGGGGGGCGUGGCGUCGGGGGCCUUCGCGGCGCAGUCCUCUUUCAGCAUCCCGAACAGCAGCAGCGGCCCGUAGGACUCGCAGGACUCGGUGCACAGCAGCCCUGAGGAUGGCGGCGGCGGCCGGCACCGGCCGGUGGGCUGGAGCCCCGGCGGGCCGCUCCUGGUGAUCGGCUCCUUACCAGCUCACCUCUCACCGCGCAUGUUUGGAGGUGCUGAGAAACAUAAUGUCUGUUCCCCAAGAGCCAGCUAAUCAUUUUUACUAAGUACGAUAAUUGGCUGCCCUGAUUCAGAUAACAUAUCCUUAUUGUGACAUAGGGGUGACUAUUGUCAGAAAACCCUGAAAAUGUUUUAAAACAAGAACUAAUGGGGCUUGGCGAUUCUUGCCACGCUUUUCCAGAGCUCGGACCUUGCUAUUAUUUGCUACUAGACACCCACAAACCCUUGCUUGUUAAACUGAUCGCCUUCAAGACUCAAGAAAAGCGCCAUGCGGCUCCCUCCUAGGGCUCUCCUGACCUUUCCUCACCAAUGCCGAGAGUGGUCCUGCUGGAGAACGCACACGCCUGCAGUUCGUGCACCUUUUCCCGGAGCUGCACCAGGAAAUUAUGGAUCAACUGGAAGCAGCCAAGAAGAAGGGUCUUGGCGAUCACAUCCAGCUAUUCAGCCAUCUCAGACUGCGGACCUCCGUGCACCCCCUGGCAGGUUCCCUCCGCCUAGGGUCGAAAGCUUCAGAGGCAGCCCCAACUCUUCCACUUCUUCCUCCAUCUCUGGCUCCCAGGCUUGGGAGGCCCCGCGCCACCGCUUCAACUGGCUGGGGUGGGAAGAUUGAAACGGCUCUUGAGACUCUGCUUUUGCGCUUACUGCUCGUUUGCCCGACUAUUUUCUCAUAGUCCCUAUUCCAGUCAAUUUCUGGCACAGCCCAGCUUGAAACUGCUCUUGAGCCUCCGAUUUUGAGCUUACUCCUGGUUUGCCCGACUAUUUUCUCAUAAUCCCUGUUCCGGUCAGUUUCCGGCACAGCCCAGCUUGAAACAGCUCUUGAGCCUCCCCUUUUGAGCUUACUCCUCCUUUGCCUGACUCUUUUCUCAUAGUCCCUGUUCUGGUCAAUUUCCGGCGCAGCCCGGCUUGAAAUGGCUCUUGAGCCUACGCUUUUGAGCUUACUUCUCAUUUGCCCGACUAUUUUCUCAUAGUUCCUGUUCCGGUCAAUUUCCAGCGCAGCCCAGCUGAGUUGGGCGAGGUCUAGAAAGGCCUGACUCGCCUCUUGGCCUCAAUGACUUGUACCCGCUGCUUUUGCAGACCUCCCGGUCUUCAUGGCAACUGUGAAAUGUGGGGUGGGGGGCGUAGGGUUGAAGCCAUUCGCGCCGGUAGUCCCUGCAUGUCCCCUCAUGUGCUCCCCAGUGCGCACAGCACCCCAGCCUCCGCGCUUCUGGAAGCAGCCCAGAAGGGUCUUGGCAAUCACGUCCAGCUGUAAGCCAUUUCGCGGUCUCAGAUUGCGGACCUCCGCACGCCCCCUGGCAGGUUCCCUCCGCCUAGGGUGGAAAGCUGCAAAGGCAGCCCCAACUCUUCCACCACCUCCUCCAUCUCCGGCUCCUGGGCUUGGGAGGCCCCGCGCCACUGCUUCGACUGGCUGGGGCGGGAAGGUUGAAAUGGCUUUGAGACUCCACUUUUGAGCUUACUCCUCCUUUGCCCGACUAUUUUCUCAUAGUCCCUAUUCCAAUCAAUUUCUGGUGCAGCCCAGCUUGAAAUGGCUCUUGAGCCUCCGCUUUUCAGCUGACUCCUCGAUUGCUCAACUAUUUUCUCAUAGUCCCUGUUCCGGUCAAUUUCCGGCGCAGCCCAGCCCAGUCCGGCGAGGUCUGGAAAGGCCUGACUCGCCUCGCAGCCUGAAUGACUUGUACCCACCGCCGAUGCGGACCUCCCAGUCUUCUUGGCGACUGUGGGGUGGGGGGCAUGCGGUUGAAGCCGUUCACACGGGCAGUCCCUGCAUGUCCCCUCACGUGCUCCCCAGUGCACGCGGCACCCCCGCCUCCACGCUUCCCUGAGCGUGCAGCCUUUGGUGAGGGCAGCCCCACGCACAGCCCCCCACACCCUCCCCAGCGCCUGCAGCCCCUGGUGCACGCAGUCCCCAAGCCCGCACGUGCAGCCCCCACCUUGCACACAGCUCCAUGUACAGCCCCUCAUACGUUCACAGCCCCAGUGGCGCAGAACCCAUCACUACUCGCUCUUCACGCGCUUCACUGGGCGUGCAGCCCCCACAGCGCGCAGCUCAAUGCAGCCUCUCCACGUGCUCCCCAGGGCCUGCAGCCUCGUCUUAACUUCUUUUGCCAGGCCCACACAUACCUGCCUAUGGCCUGAGUGGAUUGGCAAUGACAGUGGUGACAGCUGACAUUUACUGAGUACAUGCUAUGUUCCAGAUGCUGCGUUUCCAUUCUCCAAUGAAGAAUCUUAAGUCUCAGGGCCUCAUGCAAAACUAUACAGCUAAUAAACAGUAGAGUUGGGAUCUAAGCCCAGGGAAUUUUACUCUAGAACUCGCAGUAUUAACCACAGUGCUCUCUUGGCUUAUAUUUCUAAGGCACAUGCUGUAACCACUUUUUUUUUUUUUUUUUUGAGAUGGGGUCUCACUCUGACAUCCAAGCUGGGGUGCAGUGGCGCGAUCUCGGCACACUGCAACCUUCGCCUCCCAGAUUCAAGGGAUUCUCCUGCCUCAGGCUCCUGAGUAGCUAGGAUUACAGGCACAUGCCACCAUGCCCGUAUAAUUUUUUGUAUUUUUAGUAGAGACGGGGUUUCGCCAUGUUGCCCAGGCUGGUCUCAAACACCUGACCUCAGGUGAUCCGCCCAUCUCGGCCUCCCAAAGUGCUGGGAUUACAGGUGUAAGCCGCCACGCCCUGCCUAUAACCAUUCUUUUUUUAGGGAGGUGUGGUAUAUGGUGCUACCCUGGAUCUGUAGUCAGGAUUUGAAGAAGGGAGAAGGUAUUUGCUUGUGAAGAAGGCACCAUGCAUUGUGCUCUGUAGUGGUGACUGGAGAGAGAGCUGGGAGGGGCACAGGCAGCAAGGUCCCUGCUUAAAGACAGUUAUCUAGUUUGGAGAAACUUAGCUGGAUAGUCAGUUCUUACAUGCAUUUGGCAAGCACUUAUCAUACACUGUAAAGAGGCAAUAUGUCUAGCUUGUUAGAGGGUGGGCUCUGGAGUCAGACUUCUGGCUUUGAACCCCAACUUCCCUGCCAUUUUCAAAUGACACUGGAGAAGUCACAAAACCUAUUUCUGUCUCAGAUUCCUCCCCAGUAAAAGUGGGAUAUUAAUAGUACCUCCUUUGGCUUGAUAUGAAAAUUCAAUGAGUUGAUAUAUGCAGAACAUCUUAGAACAGCAACUAGCUUAGAGUAAAUCUUCAGUAAUUGUAAACUGUGAAUAUACUAUGUUUUUGGCACUGAAGCCACGUCGUGGUAAGACAGUGCCUGACCUCAAGAAGCUCAGAGUCUAGUACUGGAGACAGGUGAACAAAUACUUGCAAAGUGUGUGGUGUGAGAGAGGUGUGACAGGUGGGCGGGAGCCUGCAGCAGGCACAUCUGACCCAUCCUAGGUGUGUGUUGUGCAGAAAAGUUAGCCUAGGCUUUCUAGGGGCACUGAUGUCUGGGCCGAGUCUUGUAGGGCAGGGAAUUAGUCAAGGGGAGCUGUAGUGAUCCAGCUGGGGCUGAGCAGGAGCUGAAAGUGAACAGCUCACAUCUGUAGGGUUGCCAGAUUUAGCAACGGAAAGUACAAGAUGCCCUAUUAAAUGUGAAUUUCAGAUAAAAUAAUAACUUUGAAGAAUAUGUGUCAUGCAAUAUUUUUAGUAUAAGUAUGUCCCAAAUAUUGUAUAACCACACACAUUAUUCAUUGUUUAUCUGAAAUUCAAAUUUCACUGGGCAUCCUAUGAAAAGUCUGUCAAUUUUAUCUGUCCGCAUUUAGGAAGGUGCAGUAUGUUUCAGAGUAGCUGGAGUGAUGCAGGGAGGAAAGGCAGAGUGGGCCGGAUGGGGCUGAGAGGCACACAGGAGGCAGUUUGUAAAAAACCUAUGCUAUGUUAAGGGAUUUAGAUUUUAUCCUGAAAUUAGUGAUGAGCCCUUGGAGAGCUUUAACCACAGGGAUGUGAAACCACAGAGACAGCAGUGUCGGGCACGAAGAAAUGAGUGUCACUUUCUAUGGCUGAAUAGCAAAUUACUCCAAAUUUAAAGUCUUAAACAGUAAACAUUAUCUCCCAGUUUCUGUGGCUCAGGAAUUCAGAGGCAACUUAGCUGGGUGGUUCUGGCUGAGGUUUCUCAUGAGGUUGUAGAUAAGAUAGUGACCAGAGUGGCAGUUAUCUAAAGGAUGCACUGGAGCUGGAGAAUUUGCUUCUAGGGUGACUCACUCUAAUGGUUGGGAAGGUACUGCUGGCUGUCAGCAGGAGAGCUCAGUUCCUUGCUACAGGACCCCCCAUAGGACAACUUGAGCCUCCUCACAACAUGACAGCUGGCUUAGUAAUCCAAGACAGCAAAGUGACAUUAACUUUGGAAGUCACAUGCCACCUUGUCAUUCCCAUAUAUCCCAGUGCUAACACAGCUCAGCCCUGCUCAGUGCAGGAGGGUCCUACACAAGGAUGUACAUACAAGAAGGUGGGGAUCAUGGGGUUAUCUUGGAGGCUGGUUUUCUGGGAUGGGAGGCUUACAUGGUGAUGCCUGUGACCUUGGAGGUGGAGGAGAAUGAUGGGCGUACAGAGGAGUGAAGAAAGGCUGGGAGGAAUAGAGAUGUGGGAGAGGAGGUGAGGCAAAGAAAAAAGAAAGGAGGAAGGGGUGUUGGAGCAGAUUGUAGUUGAUCCACAGCAAAGAGCAUCACCAAAGCCAUUCCAGGAGGAACUAGAUCCACCACUUCCUCUGCUGGGCAUGCUCCAAAAAUGGUUGUGGCCUCCAGAGAGGACUCCAAAAGAAAGCACAAAAACUAGACAGUGGGAGGGCAUACCCAAAAGCCCUGAGUUUCUGAAAAAAUAUUGAAAGUUUCUAUGGUGAAAUAGGAAGUUAAUGUGCUUAGGAAGAAAAAAGUGGUAAUGAUUCAAGGAAACAUAAUCACACACGGUUUUAGUUUUAAUGGACAUGGGAGGAGCCAUAAAAGUAGUCUAUCUAUCAUCAGUUACAUAUCUAAUGAACUGUCUAUCUGGGAUACCCUAUCCUGUUUUAAUCUGAGUGACUCUCUCUCAGCUGAGAGAGCUGGACAGACUCCAUUUUAGCCUCUUCACUUGCAGUCCCCUUAUCCCCCUCCCUUAAGGGAAUAACUAGUGCAAGCUGACUCCAAGCACAUCCAGGAAUGCACUUACUGAUAAGAUAUUGAGGCAAGCUGUACCAGCAGCUCCUGGGGACGUGCUCAGUGGAUGGUACCCAAGCCCCUGCAUUUAUCUCUUUGUGAUAGUUUAAGCCCCUGCACCUGGAACUGUGUAUUUUUCUGUAACUAUCUCUGUAACCAUUAAUUUUUUUUAACUUUUUGCGUGUUCUGCUUCUGUAAAAAUUGCUUCAGCUAGGCUCCCCCUGCCCUAUUUAGACCACGGUAUAAAAAGAAAUCUAUCCCCUUCUUCGGGGCUGAGAGAAUUUUGAGCUCUAGCCAUCUCUCGGUCACUGGCAAUAAAAGAACUCCUGAAUUA